UACGAAGGGGGCUAGCGUUGCUCGGAAUCACUGGGCGUAAAGGGCGCGUAGGCGGCGUGUUAAGUCACUUGUGAAAUCUCUAAGCUUAACUUAGAACGGUCAAGUGAUACUGAUGUGCUAGAGUGCAGAAGGGGCAACCGGAAUUCUUGGUGUAGCGGUGAAAUGCGUAGAUAUCAAGAGGAACACCUGAGGUGAAGACGGGUUGCUAGGCUGACACUGACGCUGAGGCGCGAAAGCGUGGGGAGCAAACAGG
rnacentral:rRNA from 1 species